UACGGAGGGUGCAAGCGUUAUCCGGAUUCACUGGGUUUAAAGGGUGCGUAGGCGGGUUUUUAAGUCAGUGGUGAAAGCCCCAAGCUUAACUUGGGAAUUGCCAUUGAUACUGAUGGUCUUGAGUACACUUGAGGUGGGCGGAAUGUGUCAUGUAGCGGUGAAAUGCUUAGAUAUGACACAGAACACCGAUUGCGAAGGCAGCUCACUAAAUUGUAACUGACGCUGAGGCACGAAAGCGUGGGGAUCGAACAGG
rnacentral:rRNA from 1 species